rnacentral:tRNA from 1 species
GUGGGUAUAGCUCAAGUGGUAGACCGCAUGCCUAGCAUGCAUGAGGUCCUGGGUUCAAACCUCAGUACCUCCC